CCCCUCUGUGCUCUGGCCACUAGAGCCCAAAGCAGAGUAAACCACUUGGCCUUGGUUUCCUCGCCAGGAGAAUGGUCUCGGCUGAGGCUGGCCUCCGGAGUG